AUUGAACGCUGGCGGCAUGCCUUACACAUGCAAGUCGAACGGUAACAGGUCUUCGGAUGCUGACGAGUGGCGAACGGGUGAGUAAUACAUCGGAACGUGCCCGAUCGUGGGGGAUAACGCAGCGAAAGCUGUGCUAAUACCGCAUACGAUCUACGGAUGAAAGCGGGGGAUCGCAAGACCUCGCGCGGACGGAGCGGCCGAUGGCAGAUUAGGUAGUUGGUGGGAUAAAAAGCUUACCAAGCCGACGAUCUGUAGCUGGUCUGAGAGGACGACCAGCCACACUGGGACUGAGACACGGCCCAGACUCCUACGGGAGGCAGCAGUGGGGAAUUUUGGACAAUGGGCGCAAGCCUGAUCCAGCCAUGCCGCGUGCAGGAUGAAAGCCUUCGGGUUGUAAACUGCUUUUGUACGGAACGAAAAAGCUCUCUCUAAUACAGGGGUGAAUGACGGUACCGUAAGAAUAAGCACCGGCUAACUACGUGCCAGCAGCCGCGGUAA
rnacentral:rRNA from 1 species